UGGGGAAUAUUGGACAAUGGGGGAAACCCUGAUCCAGCAAUGCCGCGUGUGUGAAGAAGGCCUUAGGGUUGUAAAGCACUUUCGCCCGCGAAGAUGAUGACGGUAGCGGGAGAAGAAGCCCCGGCUAACUCCGUGCCAGCAGCCGCGGUAAUACGGAGGGGGCUAGCGUUGUUCGGAAUUACUGGGCGUAAAGCGCACGUAGGCGGCUUGAACAGUUAGGCGUGAAAGGCCUGGGCUUAACCGGGGAACUGCGCUUAAUACUAGCGAGCUUGAGUCCGGAAGGGGGUGGCGGAAUUCCCAGUGUAGAGGUUAAAUUCGUAGAUAUUGGGAAGAACACCGGUGGCGAAGGCGGCCACCUGGUCCGGAACUGACGCUGAUGUGCGAAAGCGUGGGGAGCAAACA
rnacentral:rRNA from 1 species